rnacentral:rRNA from 1 species
GGCAGCUACCAUGCAGUCGACGGUGAAGCAGAGCUUGCUCUGUGGAUCAGUUUCGGUUGGGGAUGGGCUCGCGGCCUAUCAGCUUGUUGGUGAGGUAAUGGCUCACCAAGGCGUCGACGGGUAGCCGGCCUGAGAGGGUGACCGGCCACACUGGGACUGAGACACGGCCCAGACUCCUUACGGGAGGCAGCAGUGGGGAAUAUUGCACAAUGGGCGAAAGCCUGAUGCAGCAACGCCGCGUGAGGGAUGACGGCCUUCGGGUUGUAAACCUCUUUUAGCAGGGAAGAAGCGAAAGUGACGGUACCUGCAGAAAAAGCGCCGGCUAACUACGUGCCAGCAGCCGCGGUAAUACGUAGGGCGCAAGCGUUAUCCGGAAUUAUUGGGCGUAAAGAGCUCGUAGGCGGUUUGUCGCGUCUGCUGUGAAAUCCGGAGGCUCAACCUCCGGCCUGCAGUGGGUACGGGCAGACUAGAGUGCGGUAGGGGAGAUUGGAAUUCCUGGUGUAGCGGUGGAAUGCGCAGAUAUCAGGAGGAACACCGAUGGCGAAGGCAGAUCUCUGGGCCGUAACUGACGCUGAGGAGCGAAAGGGUGGGGAGCAAACAGGCUUAGAUACCCUGGUAGUCCACCCCGUAAACGUUGGGAACUAGUUGUGGGGUCCAUUCCACGGAUUCCGUGACGCAGCUAACGCAUUAAGUUCCCCGCCUGGGGAGUACGGCCGCAAGGCUAAAACUCAAAGGAAUUGACGGGGACCCGCACAAGCGGCGGAGCAUGCGGAUUAAUUCGAUGCAACGCGAAGAACCUUACCAAGGCUUGACAUAUACGAGAAACGGGCCAGAAAUGGUCAACUCUUUGGACACUCGUAAACAGGUGGUGCAUGGGUUGUCGUCAGCUCGUGUCGUGAGAUGUUGGGUUAAGUCCCGCAACGAGCGCAACCCUCGUUCUAUGUUUGCCAGCACGUAAUGGUGGGAAACUCAUGGGGAUACUGGCCGGGGGUCAACUCGGAGGAAGGUGGGGGGAUGACGUCCAAAUCAUCAUGGCCCCCUUAUGUCUUGGGGCUUCACGCAUGCUACAAUGGCCGGUACAAAAGGGGCUGCAAUACCGCGAGGUGGAGCGAAUCCCAAAAAGCCGGUCCCAGUUCGGAUUGAGGUCUGCAACUCGACCUCAUGAAGUCGGAGUCGCUAGUAAUCGCAGAUCAGCAACGCUGCGGUGAAUACGUUCCCGGGUCUUGUACACACCGCCCGUCAAGUCAUGAAAGUCGGUAACACCUGAAGCCGGUGGCCUAACCCUUGUGGACGAGCCGUCGAAGG